AGCAGCCGCGGUAAUUCCAGCUCCAAUAGCGUAUAUUAAAGUUGUUGCAGUUAAAAAGCUCGUAGUUGAAUUUCGGGGUUUAUCCGUUGGUCGGGCUUUUGGGUCUGUACUGGCGUGAUGGAUUCCUACCUUCUGAAUAACCAGCAUGCCAUUAAUUUGGUGCGUUGGGGAAGCAGGACUGUUACCUUGAAAAAAUUAGAGUGCUUAAAGCAGGCUACUGCCUGAAUACAUUAGCAUGGAAUAAUGAAAUAGGACGCAUGGUUCUAUUUUGUUGGUUUCUAGGAUCACCGUAAUGAUUAAUAGGGAUAGUUGGGGGCAUUAGUAUUCAAUUGUCAGAGGUGAAAUUCUUGGAUUUAUUGAAGACUAACUUCUGCGAAAGCAUUUGCCAAGGAUGUUUUCAUUAAUCAAGAACGAAAGUUAGGGGAUCGAAGACGGUCAGAUACCGUCGUAGUCUUAACCAUAAACUAUGCCGACUAGGGAUCGGACGAUGUUAAUUUUUUAAUGACUCGUUCGGCGCCUU
rnacentral:rRNA from 1 species